rnacentral:rRNA from 1 species
UACGGAGGAUCCGAGCGUUAUCCGGAUUUAUUGGGUUUAAAGGGUGCGUAGGCGGCCUAUUAAGUCAGGGGUGAAAGACGGUAGCUUAACUAUCGCAGUGCCUUUGAUACUGAUAGGCUUGAAUGUACUUGAGGUAGGCGGAAUGUGACAAGUAGCGGUGAAAUGCGCAGAUAUCAGGAAGAACACCAAUGGCGAAGGCAGCUCUCUGGGACGGUACUGACGCUGAGACGCGAAAGCGUGGGGAGCGAACAGG